UCACAUUAUUCUUGAUUCGACAAU
rnacentral:siRNA from 1 species